GGUUCGGUAGCUCAGUUGGUAGAGCGAUGGCCUGAAAAGCCAUGCGCCGCUGGUUCGAUUCCAGCCCGGACCACCA
rnacentral:tRNA from 1 species